GUCACCGCCGGACGGGAGUGGUCGUGAGGGUUGGGGAACCCGAUGAUCGGCCAUCACCGAGGUGACCGAGGGUCUAAGGGAGCCCGAGGGCGCCGCUUCGGCGAAGGAG
rfam:Actinomyces massiliensis F0489 contig00050, whole genome shotgun sequence.